GAUGAACGCUGGCGGCGUGCCUAAUACAUGCAAGUCGAACGGAGAUUGUAGCAAUACAUUCUUAGUGGCGAACGGGUGAGUAACGCGUUGGUGACCUGCCCCAAAGUGAGGGAUAACAGCCCGAAAGGGUUGCUAAUACCUCAUGUGGUCUUAGAGAUCAGAUGCUCUUAGACUAAAGGAUUUAUUCGCUUUGGGAGGGGCCUGCGUCCCAUCAGCUUGUUGGUGAGGUAAUGGCUUACCAAGGCUAUGACGGGUAGGGGACCUGAGAGGGUGACCCCCCACAAUGGAACUGAAACACGGUCCAUACACCUACGGGUGGCUG
rnacentral:rRNA from 1 species